rnacentral:lncRNA from 1 species
UCAGCAGUUACAUAGGAACUACAGACAAAAGUGCAUUCAAAGUGUUAAUCCAUCAAAUUUCUUACAGCCUGUAGUGGAUAUGCAGAAAUAGGCUUGAGAGAGUUAUUUAGGGGAAGAAUUGCAGAGACAGCUCUUUUAUUGACUGCUACUCUCAUGGAACAAAAUGCAGAAAAGGGGAUUUUUGUUAGGCAUUUGCAGGCUGUGACUGUCUCUGUAGAUGGUUUAGUUGUGUUAAAGACUGGAUUAUGGAAGCAUCCUUAUGUUUGCUGAUGUAUUUAAGAAAAGAUUUGCAGCCUUGGACAAUGGGAAAUCAUGCAGUCCAAUAGCAGAUGGAAACAUUCGAGAAGGCGGCUGAGAGGGACACAUGAAGUUCAGGGACAUCACCAAACAGACCAAAGUGAGAAGAAUAAUACAGAGCUUAGUACACAUUUAAAGGUUGUAGAUUUCCUGGACUCUGGCAAAUUAAGUAGUGGACACUUACCAAGUGAACCAAGACUCUAACUUAAGAUUGUCUUGAUCAAUCUGGGUGGGUACAGAAGGCCAUCUUCUACAACGUCUUUCCUGGAAAACUUGGACAAAGAUUUGAACUGUGAUCAGUGUCUAUCUGAGAAGAGAGAACUUCAUAAGAGUAAGUGAAAACUGUAUUUC